AAAUAAAAAUGAAAAAAGUGUUGACUAUUGGUGGGAUAUUAUAGUAUAUUAAUUAAGUCGCCAUUAAAGAUACAUGAAAUGAAUGGAAUAAUGUCGCGGGGUGGAGCAGCUCGG
rnacentral:ncRNA from 1 species